rnacentral:tRNA from 1 species
GUUUUUAUAGUUUAAAAAAAAACAUUGGUCUUGUAAAUCAAAAUUAAAUUUAUUAUUUUAAAAACU